CAGGGAAUCUUCCACAAUGGACGAAGGUCUGAUGGAGCAAUGCCGCGUGAGUGAAGAAGGUUUUCGGAUCGUAAAACUCUGUUGUGAGGGAAGAACAAGUACGAGAGUAACUGCUCGUACCUUGACGGUACCUCAUUAGAAAGCCACGGCUAACUACGUGCCAGCAGCCGCGGUAAUACGUAGGUGGCAAGCGUUGUCCGGAAUUAUUGGGCGUAAAGCGCGCGCAGGCGGUCCUUUAAGUCUGAUGUGAAAUCCCACGGCUCAACCGUGGAAGGCCAUUGGAAACUGGGGGACUUGAGUACAGAAGAGGAAAGCGGAACUCCAAGUGUAGCGGUGAAAUGCGUAGAGAUUUGGAGGAACACCAGUGGCGAAGGCGGCUUUCUGGUCUGUAACUGACGCUGAGGCGCGAAAGCGUGGGGAGCAAACAG
rnacentral:rRNA from 1 species